UACGUAGGUGGCAAGCGAUACUCGGAAUCACUAGGCGUAAAGCGCAGGUAGGCGGUUUGGUAAGUCUUUUGUGAAAGCUCCCGGCUCAACUGGGAGAGGUCAAGGGAAACUACCGGACUCGAGUGUGGUAGGGGAUACUGGAAUUCCUGGUGUAGCGGUGAAAUGCGUAGAUAUCAGGAGGAAUACCUAUGGCGAAAGCAGGUAUCUGGGCCAUCACUGACGCUGAGCUGCGAAAGCUAGGGGAGCAAACAGG
rnacentral:rRNA from 1 species